rnacentral:rRNA from 1 species
GACGAACGCUGGCGGCGUGCUUAACACAUGCAAGUCGAACGGAAAGGCCCUUCUUUUGUGGGGUGCUCGAGUGGCGAACGGGUGAGUAACACGUGAGUAACCUGCCCUUGACUUUGGGAUAACUUCAGGAAACUGGGGCUAAUACCGGAUAGGAGCUCCGGCUGCAUGGUGGGGGUUGGAAAGUUUCGGCGGUUGGGGAUGGACUCGCGGCUUAUCAGCUUGUUGGUGGGGUAGUGGCUUACCAAGGCUUUGACGGGUAGCCGGCCUGAGAGGGUGACCGGCCACAUUGGGACUGAGAUACGGACCAGACUCCUACGGGAGGCAGUAGUGGGGAAUAUUGCACAAUGGGCGGAAGCCUGAUGCAGCAACGCCGCGUGCGGGAUGACGGCCUUCGGGUUGUAAACCGCUUUCGCCUGUGACGAAGCGUGAGUGACGGUAAUGGGUAAAGAAGCACCGGCUAACUACGUG